rnacentral:lncRNA from 10 species
GCAAUUUCUGAUCGAGAAACACUGUCCAGAUCUUCGGAAGACGGAUACGCUGCAGUGUCCAAUGAACAGCUACAAUAGGAUGGCUUUCCAGGAAUAUCACCUCUUCCAGACCAGCCACUUUGAUGUACUGUGUAUGUGGAGAAGCUAUCUCUUCUAAAAAUCACUGAAGAUACACAACUGUGUUUGCUCUUCUGGUUGUUUUUCCCCUUUUAAUUUUCUUAAAAUUUAAAAAUAACUCUUUUUUUCUCUUUUUACAAAAAUGGUCUGUGUUAGUUACAUUAAAUUAUUUUAAAAACAAAUUUUACUUUCCAAACCAACUUAAGGUAGCUAAUAUUAAGAUCUUUGUGCAAAUUCCUCAAAAGCCUCUUUUAUAUUUUGGGCAUAUCUUCGCCUGUCAAUAAACACACUCACCUACUCCAGCAUUUUCAUGACUACAAAGUAUUCUACUAUAUGACAUCAUUAUAUUUAGAGUUUUAGUUAAACCUGUUUAUUGAUCACCACUUAACUAUGACUUUUUCAUCUUACAAGGAAAGAUACAAUAAACAUCACUGGGGGUAUGCACAUCCUUAACUAUUUUUUUUUACAAUAAAUUUCCAGAAGUAAAAUUUCUUGGCAAAAUGCACACAUAGGUGCAGGUUAUAUAUGAUAUAUAUGUUCCCUGGAAAGACUGUUACUAAAUGUACUAUCUCUACGCUUCCUGAUAUUGUAUGAAAGAUGUUCAACCUUUAUUUAUCUAUUUGACUGCUAACGAGGUUAAAGUUUUCAUAUUUUUGUUGGUUUUUGUACUUUUGAACAUAUCAGAUUUCUUUUGUGAAAAGGUUUUUUUAUAUUAUUUGCUCAUUUUAAUCGGAGUGCUGAUUAUACAUUAGUGAUGCAUGAGUAUUUUCUAUCUGACCUGUUUUAUACGUAGCAAAUAUUUUCCUAAUUUUUGAUUUGCAUUUUGGUUUUCAGUGAUGGAAUUCAAAUAUAUAACAUAUUUUCAAAAAUGAUUUUUCACUUCAGUAAAUAUUAUACAAACAGAAACUUAAAUUUUUAAUACUUUUAUUUAAAUUUAAAUUUGAUUUACUUGGAAUUACUUGUUUGAAAGAUGAAUGGAAGGUGGCUAUGACCUGAAAAUACAAAUAGUUUACUCACAGAUAUGAAGUAUAAUCUUUAAAAAAAUAUUAGCCUGCCAGGAGUAAAGGAAAAAGAAUUAAAAAUAUUAGUGAAUAUAUAAUCUUAGGUUUGUUUCCUGACUUCAUAUUCUAUUACACUUAUCUACCACUGUAUUCAUUUCAAAAACUGGUUGAUUAUUCCUAAAUAUUUGUUCUUAAUUAUGUCUGUCAUCUCUGUCUAAUAUACUAUUUAUUACACGUUGUUAAAAGUAAUUUUAAUGAAUAAUCCACCAAGUUGUCAUGCUGAAAUGUUAAAUAAGGCAGUUUAGAUUUUACAUGGUUUUAAUGAUGUUGUGUCUAUUUGUGUGUGGUGAGAAAAAUGUAUUCCCUC